AUUGAACGCUGGCGGCAGGCCUAACACAUGCAAGUCGAGCGGAUGAGAGGAGCUUGCUCCUCGAUUCAGCGGCGGACGGGUGAGUAAUGCCUAGGAAUCUGCCUAGUAGUGUGGGACAACGUUUCGAAAGGAACGCUAAUACCGCAUACGUCCUACGGGAGAAAGUGGGGGAUCUUCGGACCUCACGCUAUUAGAUGAGCCUAGGUCGGAUUAGCUAGUUGGUAGGGUAACGGCCUACCAAGGCGACGAUCCGUAACUGGUCUGAGAGGAUGAUCAGUCACACUGGAACUGAGACACAGUCCAGACUCCUACGGGAGGCAGCAGUGGGGAAUAUUGGACAAUGGGCGAAAGCCUGAUCCAGCCAUGCCGCGUGUGUGAAGAAGGCCCUCGGGUCGUAAAGCACUUUAAGUUGGGAGGAAGGGCUUACAGCGAAUACCUGUGAGUUUUGACGUUACCGACAGAAUAAGCACCGGCUAACUUCGUGCCAGCAGCCGCGGUAA
rnacentral:rRNA from 1 species